CCGGCGUACUGGAACCUCUCUCGCGAUCCCGCACCCAGCUUGAAUUCAGCAAGAAUCGAAAACAGUCCAACAACCGUCGUAUCUACAGCGAUCCUUAGAGAACAAUUAAGGCCAGUUGACAGUAAAGAACAAUCAGUGUGUAUUUGAAGUCCAUGCUGAGAGAGCAUCAAUCUUCUGGCAGCUGCAAGACUGACCUAUCAACCGAGGCAUUUCUUCAUUCCCUGCCAUUGUCUCCUCCUCUUGAGAUCGCCAUCAGGCACAGUCACUUUUCUACAAACAGGCAAUAGGACUCCCGCUGCCACCCUGCCCAGAUUUUAGUCCUCUACUGCUGAUAAAGUGAGCAAAGAUACGUGGCACUUCCUGAACCCAAAUACUCUUCUGAGCUGAUUCUAAAUCCACACAGAAUCAACCUACCUCCUAUUACCUCCUUCCAAGCUCUGUGUCCCAUUCUCUCAUUUCAGUCUCAGCUCCAGACAUCAGUGAAUUCAAUGUGAUACAUCAGGGGACAUCACAGGACUUCCCUACUUGAAAAUCAAGCAAUCGUGUCCCUGAAACACUCUGUCUUUAUUCAUGCUCAGUUACCGUAAAGUAGAUGCAACUCUAAGAACCUAUGGAUUUUUUUAUUGCCACUAAUAGAUCAUGAUUUACAGCAAAAUUUUAAAAGGUCCAAUUUUACUCACAUAAGAAGAAGAAAACAUUCAGCAAGAAGCAUUUCUUUUGCUUUAUCUUUCCCA
rnacentral:lncRNA from 1 species